AUCACGAAAUCCUACUCCCGGACUCGCCGUUACGAUUUAGCGCCAUGCUUUUGGUAUCGCCUAAAACCGGAGCGUUGUACAUCUCCCCACUCAUCUCUGGUGCGGAGCAUGCUCGAUACUACUCAUCACGUUUCGUGCUCCGUGAAGUCCUUAAAGACCCUAGCAACCGCUUCCGUAUCGUUGCUAUGCCAAGACGUCACAAAAAUCGUAGAGACUUAGUAAACGCUCGGUUUUAAAAACGAUUUUCUCAUUCUUGAUUGGAGGAUCCAAUGGAAUUAGAAUGGCCUUGAGAGCGAGUUCUGAAUAGGGGUUAAAGUGUUAACUAUUCUUGUACUGUUUAUCUCUAAUCCUCCGGCCAGUAUACAUGAAGAACUUCCAUUAAUACCAACAAAGGUUAUAGGCCCAAAAUCAAUUUGAGAAAGUGAAAAUGACAAAUCUGAUGAAUUCAACACGCAUCGAGUUACUAAACAAGGAUAAUUAUGAGACAUGGAAAAUGAAAGUAAAAGCUUUGUUAACAAAAACGAUUUAUAGGAAUAUGUCUCAGGAAUGAAGAUAAAACCCGAAGUAUCUACAUUGGAUAUGGCUGCUCUGCAAGCAAUUUGUACAUGGAGUAAGGAAGAUAAAAAGGCUAAAGCCGAUCUGAUUUUAAGCAUAAGUCUGUGAAACUAAAACAGAUAAAAAAUUGUGAAACAUCUUGUGAAGUAUGGAGAAAGCUCGAAUCAAUAUUUGCAUCAAAAGGUCUAGCAAGAAAGGCCAUGUUGUUAAAACAAUUAACAUUACAGAGAAUGCGUGAAGGUGAUGAUGUAAGAGAGCGUAUGAAAAAACUGUUUAAUGCUGUCUAUAAGUUAGCUGACAUGAAUAAUGAGGUUAACGCUGACCGAUUAACCAUAAUCUUAUUAUAUAGUCUGCCUGACAGUUUUGACAAUUUUAAGUGUGCCAUCGAAUCCAGAGAUCAACUGGAUGCAGAGACUUUGAAAGUCAAAAUUCUUUAAGAAAAUGAUGUGAGGAAACAGAAGUCUAGAGAGAGUUCUAUAGGAGCGAUGGUAGCAUCAACAAGAAAUAAGUCGGUUAAAAAAUUUAACAAUCUAAAGUUUCAAAAAGGAGAUAAAAUAGGGCUGCAAGAAAAUAAUUAUAAUUUUAAAUGUUAUCGGUGUAACAGGAGAGGGUACAAAGCUGUUGAAUGUUAUACAAAAUUAUAUUCGAUUAAAUGAAGCAAAUGUUGUUGAUGUCUUUUUUUGCUUGUGAAGCUAACUGUGAAAGCAGCAUGUGGACUGCAUGGAACCCUAAAAAGGAACGAUGGUAUGUAGAUAGUGGAUAUACUACUCAUUUAUGUAAAAGCCAACUAUGGUUUUGAGAAAUACAGGCGGUAAAAAAUGGAAAUUUUAACUUAGCCAACGCGAAUUAAGUUAGAUGUGAAUUUAUACGCUUUAAAAAGAUUACAAAAAUAACUUAAUUCUAAAUGAUUAUUAAUAAGAGUGAUGCUGUUCGAUUCAGCUGUCAAUUCUCACUGACUUCCUCUCAAUCGUUCCGUAUAAAGACACCUUGGUUUCCGGUGUCCGGUGUCUCUGUAUCUUAUCGGUAAGGCUACCGUAGUCAUCAUAACUCGCGGCAUUUACCUAAGUAAAGGGAAAAGGAACUGAUGAUAUAAUGAUAUUGGUUGAAAACCAAAACAGUCUAUAAGUUUUAACAAUGCAUUCUUAGUACCUGAUUUAAGAACAAACUUCGUUUCUGUCGUUAAGACCCCAAAUUGUGAUUAUGAAGUAAUUUUCAAGAAAAAUAUAAGAAUAAUAAGGAAUCAAAAAGGAGAAGUUAGGAUGGUAGUGGACAGAAUUGGAAAUUUAUAUUAUGUAAGGGAAGCAGAACAAGAAACUAAUAAAGCAACAAUAAAUGCAAACUCUGAAAUGAAAUUAUGACAUGAAAGACUGGCUCAACUCAACGAAAAAGAUCUAAUAGGAAUGAUGAAGAAUAAUUCAGCAAAAGGAAUUAUUUUCGAUCAAAAUGCAACUUUUCAAGGAUAUAGAAUUUGCUUAUUAGAUAAGCAAUAUGCACAUUCUUUUCAAGAACAUCGGGAACUAUUUGAAGAGUUUUUGAAGAUUAUACAUUCGGACAUUGUGGUCCUAAAAGACUUGAAUCUGAAUGAGGAGCAAAAUAUUUCACGACCCUCAUUGAUGAUCACUCAAGGUGGUGCGAGGUAUACUUAUUAAAGAUCAAAAACGAAGUUCUGGAUGCUUUCAAGAAAUUUAAGAUGAUAGAGACUCAAACAGGAAGACUACUGCAGCAAUGAAUUUGACAAGUUAUUACAAGAAAAUGGUAAACGAAAAAGGCUCACGACAUCAUAUGCCCCACAACAAAAUGGUGGUGUGGCCGAAAGGAAGAAUCGAACACUUGUAGAAGUAACGAGAUGUAUGCUUAUUGGAUCGGGUUUGUCUCAACCCCUUUGGGCACAGGCAAUUAUGACUGCUAAUCAUAUUAAAAAUAGAAUUCCAACAAAGAGCUGAAUGGGAAAAACGCCAUAUGUAAUUCGUUUUAAAACAAUACCUAAUUUAAAAUACUCAAGAGUGUUUGGAACUCAUACAUUUGUUUCACAAAGAGAGGACCAGGUGUGGAUAUUUUAGUUUUUUCUCCUACUUCUCCUGAAGAGAGGUAUAUACUCCUCUUGUAAGAUCCUAAAGCCUUUUAAUUAGAUGAGCAGUCGUUUUCGAGAAAAGUUAUCUGGAAAAUUUACGAAUUUGUACAGGAAGUUCUAAAUAUUAUUAAACGGAUAUUUAAAGAUUUAACAAAUGAGAAGCUUUUGAAACGUUUGGGUAGAAACACUCAAAACCAUAAGAAGAGUUGGAAUAAGUGCGUAUGACAGCUCACGCCCAAACACAUAUUCGCGGGCAACGAAAUUAUUGAAAUUUCGGGUUGGACUGCAGCAUACGUUUUCAAUGAAGAAUGCAUGACUUUAUUGAGGAUAUUAGAAGCAAUGGGAGUAAAUACCGCUUGUCAUGCAAGUAUUUUUAGUAGUCGAGGAAAUCAAGAGCGCAUCACAUCAGCUGAUUGCCUAAGCAGCGAAUGAUCUGAGUCCAGAAUGCACAGGAAAAAAAGAUAACAACGAGUUGUAAAUUGAAUUCGAAAAAACCGAGGGAUUGAUAUAAUGUGCAGGAAUAGCUGAUUGACGACCGCCUGGUGAAGAAUUAAGAUGGCACUCAUAAGGCGCCUUUCUAAAACAGAUCUGCGCAGUCAGCGCCAUGUACUGUUACGUCCUAUACGUGAGCGACCGUUUGCGGGAUCAUCAGGGAGCGAGCAUAGAUGUUGCGAUCAAAGAUCAUGUAAAAGUCCAGUUCCCCAUUACGUUGGCGGCACUGUGAUUAUCAACUGAGGAUAUUUCAUACACGUCAGUCGGCACCAGAUCUCCCGUGACGUUGAAUUCGGUGCGAAGAUCAAUGAGUUUACAACUUAUUAGGUCGAUGGGUACACCGUAUGUCUGAUCCAGUCGGCUCCGAUGAUUGCAGACUUGACUUCCGCGAAGCUAAACGGCCAUUUGAAUGCUCGAUGUAGUCCCAGGUUGAAAGUCAUCAGUUGCUAUCCGUAGUUCGCAGAUUUCUACUCCCUGAGUACCAAGUUUGAUCUACAUGAAGCUAUUUUUUCAUUUUCAUCGACCAUAUUGGAUCCAGCAUUUUGCAUCUCUGAUUUUUUGAGUUCAGAUUUAUAAUUAAUGACCCGAAAACCCUUGAUUAUCGAGCUUGCUAUGUAUCUUCGGAGUGGAGAUAGGAAAGCAGAGGUAAAUCCCUUGUUAUGGCAAGAGUAUUUAUUGGACUGAUUGUCUUCACACAGAUUCGUACAUUUAGGUUCUCUCUCUACUUUCAUUCUCUCCCACAUACACACAGGACUCCUCAUAUCUUGUAACGUGAUUUUAAAGAACCUCGCCACAAAGCGGUGUAGCAUUACCUGGUACAGAACUACUGUGCUUGUCCACUCUCUACACGAUAAUCAGUAGCCGUAAGACACCUCAUCGUGUGAAUUCGAAAACCCUUUUUGUUUAUGUGUCGCCUACCGGCCUUUAUAAAGUAUUGUGAGAUUUAAAACAUGUUA